rnacentral:rRNA from 1 species
GGGUGAGUAACGCGUGGGAAUCUGCCCUCAGGAGGGGGAUAACGGUUGGAAACGGCCGCUAAUACCCCAUAUGCCGAGAGGUGAAAUGAAUUUCGCCUGAGGAUGAGCCCGCGUCUGAUUAGCUAGUUGGUGAGGUAAGAGCUCACCAAGGCAUCGAUCAGUAGCUGGUCUGAGAGGAUGAUCAGCCACACUGGGACUGAGACACGGCCCAGACUCCUACGGGAGGCAGCAGUGGGGAAUUUUCCGCAAUGGGCGAAAGCCUGACGGAGCAACGCCGCGUGAGGGAUGAAGGCCUCUGGGCUGUAAACCUCUUUUAUCAAGGAAGAAGAUCUGACGGUACUUGAUGAAUAAGCCACGGCUAAUUCCGUGCCAGCAGCCGCGGUAAUACGGGAGUGGCAAGCGUUAUCCGGAAUUAUUGGGCGUAAAGCGUCCGCAGGCGGCCCAACAAGUCUGCUGUUAAAAAGUGGAGCUUAACUCCAUCAUGGCAGUGGAAACUGUUGGGCUCGAGUGUGGUAGGGGCAGAGGGAAUUCCCGGUGUAGCGGUGAAAUGCGUAGAUAUCGGGAAGAACACCAGUGGCGAAGGCGCUCUGCUGGGCCAUCACUGACGCUCAUGGACGAAAGCCAGGGGAGCGAAAGGGAUUAGAUACCCCUGUAGUCCUGGCCGUAAACGAUGAACACUAGGUGUCGGGGGAAUCGACCCCUCCGGUGUCGUAGCCAACGCGUUAAGUGUUCCGCCUGGGGAGUACGCACGCAAGUGUGAAACUCAAAGGAAUUGACGGGGGCCCGCACAAGCGGUGGAGUAUGUGGUUUAAUUCGAUGCAACGCGAAGAACCUUACCAGGGUUUGACAUCCUGCGAAUCUCUUGGAAACUUGAGAGUGCCUUCGGGAGCGCAGUGACAGGUGGUGCAUGGCUGUCGUCAGCUCGUGUCAUGAGAUGUUGGGUUAAGUCCCGCAACGAGCGCAACCCACGUCUUUAGUUGCCAGCAUUUAGUUGGGCACUCUAGAGAGACCGCCGGUGAUAAACCGGAGGAAGGUGUGGAUGACGUCAAGUCAUCAUGCCCCUUACAUCCUGGGCUA